AUGGCAACUGAACAAAAGCUGGUGAGAGCUGUUAGAGUGUUUGAAUUUGGUAGACCAGAAGUCCUGAAACUCAGUCAGAUGUUGCAGUACCAGUUCCAAAAGACCAUUAGUUGUAAUCAAGGUUCAUGCGUGUGGUGUCAACCCCAUGGAGACAUACAUUUACUCUGGUAUUUAUAAUAGAAAACCACCUUAUUCUAUGCUCAGAUGUAACUGGGGUAACGGAAGCUGUUGGAGGGAAUGCAUCUACUUUCAAGAAAAGUGACAGUUUUCACUACCGGCACAAUCUCUGGGAGCAGAUUACGCUGUUUACAAACUGCCUGAAAAACUGGACUUUAAACAAAAUGCUGCCAUUGGUAUCCCAUAUCUUACUGCAUAUCGAGCUCUGAUUCACAGUGUCUGUAUGAAAGCUGGAGAGUGUUCUGGUUCAUGGGGCUAGUGGAGGAGCUGCAGUAGCAACAUGCCAAAUUGCUAGAGUUUAUGUCUUAAAGGUUUUGGGCACAGUUGGUACUGAGGGACAAAAAGACUUUUGCAAAAUGGAGCCCACAAAGUGUUUAAUUACAAAGAAGUUAACUAUGUUGAUAAAAUUAAGAAAUGUGUGAUAAGAAAGGAAUUGAUGUGAUUAUUGAAAUAAUAGCUAAUAUAAAUCUUAGUAAAUAUGCGAAUUGUUUGUCAUAUGGAAGAUAAGUAAUAGGUGUUGGCAACAGUGGUACCAUUGAAAUAAACCCAUGGGACACUAUGGCAAAAGAGUCUAGUAAAAUUGUCGUUACUCUAUUUUCCUCAACCAAGGAGGAAUCUCAGCAAUUUGCAGCAGCCUGUCAAGCUGGAAUGGAAAUUGGUUGGCUGAAACCUGUAAUAAGUUCUCACUAUAUGUUGGAGAGGUGGCCCAGGCUCAUGAAAAUAUCUCUCACGGCAAUGGGGCUACUGUAAAAAUGAUUCUUCUCUUUUGA
rnacentral:lncRNA from 1 species